rnacentral:rRNA from 1 species
GACGAACGCUGGCGGCGUGCUUAACACAUGCAAGUCGAACGGAAAGGCCCUGCUUUUGUGGGGUGCUCGAGUGGCGAACGGGUGAGUAACACGUGAGUAACCUGCCCUUGACGUUGGGAUAACUUCAGGAAACUGGGGCUAAUACCGGAUAGGAGCUCCUGCUGCAUGGUGGGGGUGGGAAAGUUUCGGCGGUUGGGGAUGGACUCGCGGCUUAUCAGCUUGUGGGUGGGGUAGUGGCUUACCAAGGCUUUGACGGGUAGCCGGCCUGAGAGGGUGACCGGCCACAUUGGGACUGAGAUACGGCCCAGACUCCUACGGGAGGCAGCAGUGGGGAAUAUUGCACAAUGGGCGGAAGCCUGAUGCAGCAACGCCGCGUGCGGGAUGACGGCCUUCGGGUUGUAAACCGCUUUCGCCUGUGACGAAGCGUGAGUGACGGUAAUGGGUAAAGAAGCACCGGCUAACUACGUG